UCGUUAACGAACGAGACCUCGACCUACUAAAUAGUUUGCCGAACCCUUUGGGUUCGUGUACGCUUCUUAGAGGGACUAUCGGUUCGUAGCCGAUGGAAGUUCGAGGCAAUAACAGGUCUGUGAUGCCCUUAGAUGUUCUGGGCCGCACGCGCGCUACACUGAUACGUUCAUCGAGUUUACAACCUUAACCGAUAGGUUUGGGUAAUCUUUUAAAGCGUAUCGUGAUGGGGAUAGAUUAUUGUAAUUUUUAAUCUUCAACGAGGAAUUCCUAGUAAUCGCGCGUCAUUAACGCGCAAUGAUUACGUCCCUGCCCUUUGUACACACCGCCCGUCGCUAAUACCGAUUGAAUGGUUA
rnacentral:rRNA from 1 species